UGACAGUAAAAAUUGAGAAGAAAAUGGAAAGAAAGUCAAUCUAGAUGGAUGGAUAGAUGGAGAGGAAGUCUGAGUGAAUGGAAAGAAAAAUGAAACACAGUAAAAGAAAGAAAACCCAGAAUGGAUUUAUGAUUUGAAAGAAAGAAAGAAGGAUGUGAUAGAUAGAUAGACAGACAGACAGACAGACAGACAGACAGACAGACAGAUAGAUAGAUGAGUCUCACAUGUCCCCAUAAAGUAUCUCUCAAUGUUUCAGCUCAACAUCACGAUGGUUCCUUUCACUGUGCCUGUGUCAUCCAAUGUUUUAGCCCAGUUCUGUUCUGAUGCUGUUUUUCUUGUUUCUUUUGCUUUAAAUGCAGCUGCCUAUGCCGCCUUCAGGAAGAAGACUCUCUCUGCAUCUGUGAUUGACAGCAUGGAGUGAAACAGUCAACUGUACGGCAGUUUACCAAGAUGUGAAUGAAUGUGAGAGACCAGGACUUUCUAUCACUUCUAACUUUAUGUAUGCAUUUGUACGAUUAGAUCCUCUCUUGGAAGGACAAAACAACAAACACUUUUAGACAUCCUGGAGAAACCGCAAGUACUCUCUCAAGAUUUGCAUGUCCAUCCUCAUACUUUCAUCCUCAGGCAUGCCACCAUGCCAAAGGACUUCCUUUACGGAAAACUUUUCCCUGGAAAGCGAUCAACAUGCCGUCCACACCCUUUGCCAUAAGGAUGUCAGCAACAUCACACUGUGGACUACAGCUGGAAGGACUGUGACCAGAUUAAAAGCACCAUUGGUUUCAGAGAAGCUACAUUCUGACUUUAAGUGAGGCCUAUCAUACAAUAUUACAUAAUAAACUCAUGGUCACACUUAGAAUAUGGAAAAUCAAGCUACAGAUACAAGGCUAAGAAUCCACAGCCAAUCUGUGCUCACGAUGCUUGCAAUGCUUUUAUGCUAAUUUAUUUAUCUUAGGACAGGCUUCAGCUGAAACCGAUGAAAGCGUGAAAGUUAAAAUUCUGACCUGAUCAUUAAAGUGGAGCCUACUACUCUCAUCACAAUCCAUCUAACAUUUGUUGAGACACAAAUAUCAACCUCAGGAUUGCACUGAAAGAUAUGUCAUUGAAGUCAUAAAGAUUAAUUGUCUGAAUGCAGUGAUUGCUCAGAGUGAGAGUUGGAGGCCAUAAAAAGCCAUAAAAAGUGAUUCAUGUCUGUGCCAGUUGCAGUCAACUAUUUUAUUUUGGCACUGUCAAUCACAGGCACAGAGAGAGUCUUCUUCCUGAAGGAGGUGUGGACAGCAGUAUUUAAAGCUACAGAGACUGAAACAGCGUGUUAAGGACAGCACUGAAAGCAGGAGUUUGAUGGUGGAAUUAACCGGUUUUGUAGCAUAUUGAGCUGAAAUUUUGAAAGGCACAUUCAAGUCAUACUUCGACAGGUCGGUGUCUUCAUCAUCCUCCUCAUCAUCCUCUUACUUCUCCUGAUCUUUUACCACUUCUUUCUUUUUGCUGUCUUUAGAGGAAGACGUGCUGUUGCUCUUCCUGCGGUACUUUUUUUCCCCUACCAAACUCGUCAUAUUCACCGUCUGAUUCCUUCCUUUCAAUAUAGUCUGCGUUCUCUCUUCCAUAGAAACCUCCACCAUAACCUGAUCUUUCUUCAAGCUUGGCAUAUUUGGGUGUGUUGCACAUGAUUUACUAAAAGGAGCACAAGAUGUUACCUUUAACAUUAAUCCAUCCAGUAAUUGUUCAGAUAUUUCAGUCUGGACUGUAUUAAAGGACCAACCAACCACCUGACUGUUAUUUACAGUGGUUAGCAAAUGUAUUAGCCCACCACCCAGUGUAAGGCAUUUGUCCUAAAUUUAGAGUAUUGCUGAUUACCAAAAUACUUUUUUAUGCUUCUGUCAUGGUUUUCUGUUUUUUUCUUUCAACAAAACAAAAAAGUAAAGCACAUUAUUAUUUUUCUAUUGAGAAGCCAAAUUACAGUUAUUUACUUGCAUUCCUGAACAGAAAAGUUGGUUUUCUACUCAACUAUUUCAGCUACUGGAAGCUACUUAUCCAGUGAACUUCGCAGGUAGCUCACACAUUGUCACGUAUCUUUAUCCGUUUACUGAUAACUGUCUUGCAAUCUGACAGUUAUUUCAUUUUGUCUGUAUUGUGAGUUAAUCGUCCUGCUGUUAUCGGCUAAAUAACAGUAAGAUUUACUGUAAAAUUGCAGCUGUAAAGAAAUUAC
ensembl:lncRNA